AUCCAGAGAAAGCUCUAUCCUGAUCCAUGGACUUGGGACAUUCCAGCCUCUACAACUGAGAAUGUCUCAUAAUUACUGAUCUACUAAGGACACUGUUUCCUGUUUCCCAACACUGCUCUCACAUGGAGGUCCUGCUUUGAAGAAUGUUAGUUCUGAUUUAUAAGGCGAGUAGAAGAGAAAAGUGGAAGAUUAUUUGUUGAGAAUCUACUAUAUGAUUGACAGUGUGGUGGUAGAGACAACAUAACAUUUUUCACAACCUCUGGAGUGGUUUCCAUAGCAGAGAUUUGGCAGAGGAGUAAUGUGCUUGGGCCCGUUGUUUCAGUUUCGAAGACAUAGGGACCAGCAAGCACAAAGAUGGAGCAGAGGGGGAGAUAGGUGUCACGUGAAGAUCACCAAGAAUCUUCCCCCCACCCCGAGCCAACAGACAAAGAGCCUUCCUCUACAUCCAACACCCUGAAUUCCGACUUCUAGUCUCCUGCACUAUGAGAAAAUACAUUUCUGUUCUUGAAAGCCACCGACUUGUGGUAUUUCUGCUGUAGCAAUACCAGGAAACCUUUGUUCAUCUCCACAGGCUUGCCGUCUGCCUGGGGCCCAACCUAUGAGUCUGCCAGACAGCAUUUCUCGGUAUGGCGCAGAACUCAAAUUCUUAUUAAAAAAAGAAAAGCCAGACAAAAGCACAGUAGAGAGGAGAGGACUCCCUGAGACUAUCACCCUGAGACACUCUUGAAACCUAGAACGGAGUCUAUCUAUCCCCUGAGAGCACCUUUUAGUGCAACAGUGGAGCGGCACACAAAAUAAAGGAUAUACCCGUAAGAUCAGUGCCCUACUCACAAUCAGUGUGGGACCAAAAGUCAACAAUUACUCAAAAGCACAGAUGAGAAGAUAAAGGGGCAGGAAACCAGAGCGCCGGAAUG